GAUGAAGAACGUAGCGAACUGCGAUAAGUAAUGUGAAUUGCAGAAUUCAGUGAAUCAUCGAGUCUUUGAACGCACAUUGCGCCUCCUGGCAUUCCGGGGGGCAUGCCUGUCCGAGCGUCAUUGCUGCCCUUCAAGCCCGGCUUGUGUGUUGGGUCGUCGUCCCCCCCGGGGGACGGGCCCGAAAGGCAGCGGCGGCACCGCGUCCGGUCCUCGAGCGUAUGGGGCUUUGUCACCCGCUCGAUUAUGGCCGGCCGGGCGCCAGCCGGCGUCUCCAACCUUCUAUUUUACCAGGUUGACCUCGGAUCAGGUAGGGAUACCCGCUGAACUUAAGCAUAUCAAUAAGCGGAGGA
rnacentral:misc_RNA from 1 species